AGCUUUGCACAGUGGCAGUAUUGUAGCCAAUGAGGUUUAUCCAAGGUGCAAUUAUUGCUAGUAGAAAAGAAGAGGAAAAGAAUAGCACCUACUUCUGACACUUUGGUUCUCGAGAAGUGCCAAUGGCUGCCUUCCCUUAGCAG
ensembl:snRNA U4 U4 spliceosomal RNA